GGAGAGGUGGCAGAGUGGCCGAAUGCGCCGGUCUCGAAAACCGGUAUGCCCGAAAGGGCAUCGAGAGUUCGAAUCUCUCCUUCUCCG
rnacentral:tRNA from 1 species